UUCACAGCUCCAUUAAAUGGAUAUUAACUGAAUAACAUCAGAUUUCUUCUAGGUCUGCACUAUGAACUAUAGCUUAUACUCUAGCGGCCCUUCGGUCAGAGUUGGCACGCUAACAGUUGUUAGACUCUACGGCUCCGUUAAACAGAUAUUAGUCGAAUAACAUCGAAUUUUGCCUGGAUUUGUGCUGUGAACUGUAGCUCAUACUCCAGUGAUCCUUCAGCC
rnacentral:lncRNA from 1 species